rnacentral:rRNA from 1 species
CGGCGGAAGGCGCAUGCCUUUCCGCCAAAGGAGGCGACUCCGGUGCCGGCUGGGCACGCGUGACAUUAGCUAGUUGGCGGGGCGACGGCCCACCAAGGCGACGAUGUCUAGGGGUUCUGAGAGGAAGGUCCCCCACACUGGUACUGAGACACGGACCAGACUCCUACGGGAGGCAGCAG